AAAGUUUUGGGGGUACUGUUGCUGGUCUUUUACAAGGCAUGUGCACGUACUUCUAAUCUAUUCAUCCACCUGUGCAUCUUUUGUAGAAGUUCUUUCAGGUUGGCUUGCAGGUCCUUUGGACUUUGUAUUGGCUAAUAUGUGAGGCUUCUAUGUCUUUACAAACCAGUUAAGUAUGUUUAGAAUGUGUUGUAUUGGGACUUCAUUGACCCAUUAAACUAUACAACUUUCAGCAACGGAUCUCUUGGCUCUCCCAUCGAUGAAGAACGCAGCGAAAUGCGAUAAGUAAUGUGAAUUGCAGAAUUCAGUGAAUCAUCGAAUCUUUGAACGCACCUUGCGCCCUCUGGUAUUCCGGAGGGCAUGCCUGUUUGAGUGUCAUUAAAUUCUCAACUUCAAUAGUUUGUAAUGAGCUGCUGAAGCUUGGAUGUGGAGGUUUUGCUGGCGUCUUAGUAUGUUCGGCUCCUCUUAAAUGCAUUAGUGGAACCCGUUUGUUGGAUAUCCAUAGUGUGAUAAUUAUCUACGCUUUGGUUGAUUCAAUGAACUCUUUGGACGUCUUUUCAGAGUUGCUUAGGCAUUCUGGUGUGGGUAUUGUACUUGUUGCUUUACCUGGUUCAUUAGAGUUGGGAUAUCUGCUCUCUAACUGUCUGUGUAUGCGGACAAUUUCUUGAUAUUUGACCUCAAAUCAGGUAGGACUACCCGCUGAACUUAAGC
rnacentral:rRNA from 1 species